CCCGUCUCAGAGAAUCUCGAGCCGCGAGAGAAGAGCGUUUUACUGGCGGACCGCCUCACCGUGGACCACGUGUGUGAGAGUGGCGUGUUGCAGUCGUCUGCGGUUCAUGUGGUUUGCUCUGAUGGUUCUGACUGUCCUCUGUGUGGCUCUGCAGAUGCUGGGAGUGGUCCGACAGGCCAGGAGCUCCAAAGUUUUGAAACUUGUUGGCGAGCAGCUGGUCCAAAUGCCUGCAGAAAUCCACAGGCCCAUGAAACACAAAGACUGGGAAAACCUCUGGUCUGUCUCAGCCGUCAUUGUUGAGGAACCUGUAGACCAGCAUCU